AGUGAACGCUGGCGGCAGGCCUAACACAUGCAAGUCGAGCGGCAGCGGGUCCUUCGGGAUGCCGGCUAGCGGCGGACGGGUGAGGAAUACAUCGGAAUCUGCCCUGUCGUGGGGGAUAACCUAGGGAAACUUAGGCUAAUACCGCAUACGACCUACGGGUGAAAGCGGGGGAUCGCAAGACCUCGCGCGACAGGAUGAGCCGAUGUCCGAUUAGCUAGUUGUCGGGGUAAAGGCCCACCAAGGCGACGAUCGGUAGCUGGUCGGAGAGGAUGAUCAGCCACACUGGGACUGAGACACGGCCAAGACUCCUACGGGAGGCAGCAGUGGGGAAUAUUGGACAAUGGGCGCAAGCAUGAUCCAGCCAUGCCGCGUGGGUGAAGAAGGCCUUCGGGUUGUAAAGCCCUUUUGUCCGGGAAGAACUCGUCUGGGCUAAUACCCCGGGCGGAUGACGGUACCGGAAGAAUAAGCACCGGCUAACUUCGUG
rnacentral:rRNA from 1 species